GCGGCCGGCCCCGACCAGGUUCCGAUUGGCCCUGGCAGCCGUCCGUCGCAUCCGGCACGCCUCCGCGCCGGCGGCCUGUUUCCGGCGGAAGCGCGGGCCAGAGCGGCCCCUAUUGUUGCUGUGUCAUAGGGGAGCGGCGGCGGCCCCUGGCGGCGGCGCCCGGAACAGCGUCCUAGCCGCCUCGACAGGCAGAAGGAUCUCCGCGGGGCGGCGCUGCAGAGGUCGAGAUGAGGGCAGUGGGCACUGGGCUGUACACAAACGUGCCAGUGGGGCUGACAUGCACCCGGGACGGUGCUGUCUUAUCCACCCGGUUCUGAAUGGACCCAUCUCUCUCCACACCGCAGGAAGACAACCUGUCUGGUUUGCAUUAUUGGGUCCCAGACAGAGACAAUUUCAGAAACAAGAUGGAUAGCUCAUGGGAAUGACACCCAAGGCUGAACUCUAGUCUCUGUACACAAAACAGAGAGAAAGGUAAGUCCGCAGAAAAACCUGUGUACAAAUAUCGGGGGAUUCUCCUCACAAAUGCCACAAAUUUGAAGCAGCCUGGUAAAUGGACAAAAGGUGACACCUCAGUGCUUACUAGUGGGGGAAAAAAACACCCUCAGGCUCACACAUGCCCACGGUGACGUUCAAAUAAACUAUUAAAAAUGAAAACUGCCAGACAGAAAGUAAGGGAAGAAACUUGGGGACAGAGCCAGUUGGGGGUGGUCAGGGUUGGGGAAGCCUAAUAGGCACCUACAUGGUUUCUGCAGUGAGCUUUGGCAGCAAGUGGCCAUGUGACCGUAUGAACUUGUUGGAACUUCAUAGGUUGCACCUCUCGAGAGGAGGCCCUAGCAGGUGUGAGCCCUGGGCAGCCCCACCUUCUGGUGCUUACUCCUUGGGGUCAGACUAGAAGUGAGAGGCAGAUGUGUGUCCAGUCAGACGCUGUGGCUGAGCACCUGUGGCAGUGGUGCCAUCUGCCCUGCACAGCCGGGCAUUGCAAGCACAUGAACUCUAGAAGGCCAUCUGUCAUCCCUCUAUCCACAGAGCCGUGAUACUGGAUAAACUUGUGGGCUCCCUCCCAAGCAGUCAGGCUGCCCAUAGCCCAGCUGUUUUAUGGCUUAACAGCAACCUCUAGUCCUCAGGAGAGAGGAUAAGUACAGCCACUACAACUCAAAAGGUCUGAACCCCUUCCUGACACGCUACCCGAGUCCCCCCCCCCCAACUAAGACAAGCCAUUUUAAGAUAUAACCCAUUUUUUGCUAGGCCAGCUCUAUGGAACACCCAGUCCAAACAUCUACCCCAGUAGGGUAUGAGAACUUGCCUGUAGCUCUUUGCAGAAAAAUCAGAGCCCUGAGACAGUGAGAAAUUAUCCAAUGCAAAACAAAUGUCAACCACAAGCCAUGUCCAAAGAAUCUCCAUUCAGGCCUGAAAGUUAACAUUUAUAUACUCAUAGAUCUGUGCACAAACCUCAAAACCAAAACCCAGAAAGGAUUGAUUCUGCUAAAUAAGUGAUAUUGGCAGUCACGAAAAUAAACCUGUACCCGGUGCACUUCCUUGCCUGACAUUUCCAUGUGUGAGUGGGUGGUGUAGCUAAAGGGGCAGCCACCCAUAGGCAUGAAGAGGAAUGCAAUCGUUGGGGCAGCCUGAGGUCAGGGACCAAGCCAGAAUGGAUGGAAAUGUCACUGUCCUCUGUAGCUGUGCUUUCCCCAACAUCUGGCGAGAGCAGCUGACUCUGAGAGCAAAAGGCUGACUUCCGCAGAGAAAAUUCUCACACCAAGCACAUGGGGGCUACUGAGGAGCCAAAGGGAUACCAGUUCUGAGGUCAGCUGGCUUUGUGGGUUUUGUUUGUUUUAAGUUUCUCUGUAGUCUUGGCUGAAGCUCACACUGUAGACCAGGCAGAGAUCCAUCUGCCUCCCAGAUGCUGGAUUAAAUGUGUGUCCCACCACUGCCUGGCAAGGUCAGCUGUUUUUCUUUUUCUUUCUUUCUUUUUUUUCUGGAGCUGAGGA